GUAGUUGGCGGGUGGUUGACUGGAGCAGGCCGCCAUGUCCGCAGGGAGCGCGACACAUCCUGCCGCUGGCGGGCGCCGCAGCAAAUGGGAUCAGCCAGCGCCAGCUCCGCUUCUCUUCCUGCCGCCAACGGCCCCAGGUGGAGAAGUCGCUGGCAGCGGGGCGAGCCCCGGGGGCGCCACCACCGCCGCCGCUCCUUCAGGAGCCUUGGAUGCCGCCGCUGCCGUGGCUGCCAAGAUCAAUGCUAUGCUCAUGGCCAAAGGGAAGCUGAAACCAUCUCAGAAUGCGGCCGAGAAGCUUCAGGCCCCUGGCAAAAGCCUAACUAGCAAUAAAAGCAAAGAUGACCUGGUGGUGGCUGAAGUAGAAAUCAAUGACGUGCCUCUGACAUGCAGAAACCUGCUGACACGAGGACAGACACAAGAUGAGAUCAGUCGGCUUAGUGGGGCUGCUGUGUCAACUCGGGGACGGUUCAUGACGACUGAGGAGAAGGCCAAAGUGGGACCUGGAGACCGUCCAUUGUAUCUUCAUGUUCAGGGACAGACACGGGAAUUAGUAGACAGAGCUGUAAACCGAAUCAAAGAAAUAAUCACCAAUGGAGUGGUGAAGGCUGCCACAGGGACAAGUCCAACUUUCAAUGGUGCAACAGUCACUGUCUAUCACCAGCCAGCUCCCAUUGCUCAGUUAUCACCUGCUAUUAACCAGAAGCCUUCCUUCCAGUCCGGAAUGCAUUAUGUUCAAGAUAAACUAUUUGUGGGUCUAGAACAUGCGGUGCCCACUUUUAAUGUUAAAGAGAAAGUAGAAGGUCCAGGCUGCUCUUAUUUGCAACACAUUCAAAUUGAAACUGGUGCCAAAGUCUUUCUACGAGGGAAAGGCUCAGGCUGCAUUGAGCCAGCGUCAGGCCGAGAGGCUUUUGAACCCAUGUAUAUUUAUAUCAGUCAUCCCAAACCUGAAGGCCUGGCUGCUGCCAAGAAGCUCUGCGAGAAUCUCUUACAAACAGUUCAUGCUGAGUAUUCUAGAUUUGUGAAUCAAAUUAAUACUGCUGUACCAUUACCAGGCUAUACACAACCCUCUGCUAUAAGUAGUAUCCCUCCUCAACCACCAUAUUAUCCAUCCAAUGGCUAUCAGUCUGGUUACCCUGUUGUUCCCCCUCCUCAGCAGCCAGUUCAGCCUCCCUACGGAGUACCAAGCAUAGUGCCACCAGCUGUUUCAUUGGCACCUGGAGUCUUGCCAGCAUUACCUACUGGGGUCCCACCUGUGCCAACACAGUAUCCGAUAACACAAGUGCAACCUCCAGCCAGCACUGGACAGAGCCCAAUAAGUGCUCCUUUUAUUCCUGCUGCUCCUGUCAAAACUGCCUUGCCUACUGGCCCCCAGCCCCAGCCCCAACUCCCAGCUCAGCCACAGUCACAGAAGAGGCGAUUCACAGAGGAGCUGCCUGAUGAACGGGACUCUGGACUGCUUGGAUACCAGGUACAGGCUUCUCCAGUCAGAAUGAGAUAGAAGGCGCAGGAUCGAAGCCGGCAAGUUCCUCAGGCAAAGAGCGAGAGAGGGACAGGCAGUUGAUGCCUCCACCAGCCUUUCCAGUGACUGGAAUAAAAACUGAGUCUGAUGAAAGGAAUGGGUCUGGGGCCUUAGCCGGAAGCCAUGGUGAGUACAGUGCAGCUGGGGGUGGGAUGACAAGUAGGGGUGGAAACGGUUAGUCUUCUAUCCCGGUGGUCAACCAGAUUAAUCCAAUUUCAGUCAUCUACUGGCUAAUAACAACACUUUUUUUUUAUUUUAUUUAAUUUGUAAGGACAGUAUAUAGCUUUCCGUUUUUAGCCAUUCUGUGUCAGGAAUAGAGUUGCCUAAUUUAUAUUUUAUACAUCCCAGUGGCAUUAAAGUCCUAGGAAAUACUAAUGAUUGGGAGGUAAUUUCAAAAUCUUGUGCUCAUUUUGUCUAAUUGGGGGUCAUCAGAUGUAGAUUUAGGAAAAGUUACUUUUCCUAUGUGUUGGGAGCUGAGCUCAUCACCCCACAGCAUCCCUGCACUCUGCAUCCUGUGCAUGGGCUCGCUGUAUUCCGUGCCUCUAGUUGAUAAAAGUGAACAGAAGAAGAAAAAACGUUUUUCUUUUCUUCUUUUCUUUUAGCUCUUUAAGAGGUGAAAUGUUAGUCUCCAGAGACUCACUUGCUAACUUUCCUUUUUUCUUUUCUUUUUUUUUUCUUUUUUCUUUCUCUGUUUUCUUACAUGGUUCUGGUGGAUUGUCAUUUGCUGGUGCUGGCUGUUUUUCGUGAUAUCAUCAACGUUAUGGGGUGACCAUUGACCCUGUGGCUACAAAAUGGUGUCCAACUAACCACUUAUAAUUAACAUCUUUUUUUUUAAUUAACGAAUUUAUGGUAUUUUUUCUUGGUGGGGGAUGGGGUCGGGGUUGUGGUUGUUCUCUCUUCUAGAUUAUCCAGCCAAGAAGAUGAAAACGGCAGAGAAGGGAUUUGGCUUAGUAGCUUACGCUGCAGACUCCUCUGAUGAAGAGGAAGAACAUGGAGGUCAUAAAAAUGCAAGUAGCUUUCCACAGGGCUGGAGUUUGGGCUAUCAGUAUCCUUCAUCACAGCCACGAGCUAAGCAGCAGAUGCCAUUUUGGAUGGCCCCAUAGAAAAUAGUGGACAGAGCUUUGACCCUCAGUGACUCUUCUUAGCAAUAAUGCAUGCACUUGAUUAAACAAGACUCUGGGACCUGUUCUGGGGGCCAUCUUGGAUCUUCGAAGAUGUUAGGGACACAGUGUCCCCUGUCAUAAAGGGACGCCAUUCUUUUUAAAACCCUAUUUCUGCAGUGGCAUAACAUCCGUUAAAAUUCACUUAGAAUCACAAAUUUGCAUCAAGCUUUUUAACAGUUGAUGAAAUGUGCUUGUCCAGUGAGAUACCAGGACAGAGUCAUUGCUACAUAUGUUUGACCUGAUCUAGCCUUUUCCAAAUGAAUAGCCUCAACUCUGUUGUAAAGAAAGUUUUAUUUGUAUUUUACUACUAUUGGGUCAAUUUUGAUAACUGGUUACAAACAAAAAGCCUUACUAUUUAUUAGUGGGAAAUGGUUUUAAGACCCUUCCUUCCAUACUUACAUGUAAUUCUAAGAGCUCCUCAUCCCUCUUUCCAUUUGGAGUCUUUGUUUGGAAAAUGCUGUUUUACUAAUUUAGAAUGGUCAAAUACAACUGGAUCCUGAACAGGAAAAUGCAGUUAUUUUUGCAUUCUUUCUUUACUGGGAUGAUCCAAAGCUGGCACCUUUAGGCACACUUGUUUCAGAUAGCCAUUGCUGUUGGCACUGCCCUUCUAAGCUCCCGGUUUCCAACUGGGUCAAAGAAAACGCGAAACACUCAUCUGUCUCUCUCAGAACUGGCUGCAGCGAGAAGAGGGAUGUGGUGCCACCGACAGGACGGUGACUGACUGGAAUUGCAACUUGUCCUUUUUUCUUGGCAUUGCGGGUUUUGCCAAAAGAACUUUUUUGUAUCAAAUAUUCAUGUGUGGAAGUGAAGGAAUUGGUGGUGAGCCAGGAGCGUCUGAGAUACUGUCAUUUUUGCACAUUUUUGAAUACUUUGCGGGCUGGCUUUGUACAAACUUAUUCUCUGGUUUCUUGUAUGUUGUAAAUAAUUAGACCAUAAUUUCAUUAUAAAUAAAUGUAUAAAUAUUCUGCUUGUCAUUUCUCUUUUUCUUCCCUAGCCUGUUCAUACACUAAUAUCAAUAAACUCUUCAAUUAUUUAUUUUUUUAA